rnacentral:rRNA from 1 species
GAUGAACGCUGGCGGCGUGCUUAACACAUGCAAGUCGAACGGAAAGGCCCAAGCUUGCUUGGGUACUCGAGUGGCGAACGGGUGAGUAACACGUGGGUGAUCUGCCCUGCACUUCGGGAUAAGCCUGGGAAACUGGGUCUAAUACCGGAUAGGACGAUGGUUUGGAUGCCAUUGUGGAAAGUUUUUUCGGUGUGGGAUGAGCUCGCGGCCUAUCAGCUUGUUGGUGGGGUAAUGGCCUACCAAGGCGUCGACGGGUAGCCGGCCUGAGAGGGUGUACGGCCACAUUGGGACUGAGAUACGGCCCAGACUCCUACGGGAGGCAGCAAUGGGGAAUAUUGCACAAUGGGCGCAAGCCUGAUGCAGCGACGCCGCGUGGGGGAUGAAGGCCUUCGGGUUGUAAACUCCUUUCGCUAGGGAAGAAGCGUUUUUGUGACGGUACCUGGAGAAGAAGCACCGGCUAACUACGUG